UUCUCCUUAGGUCAAGCAAGAUUACCUGUUGAGUUUAAGUAUAUCAAUAAAUGAAGGAAAAAAUACUCACCAGGAUUCCCUUAGUAACAGCAAGUGAAUUGGGAAUAGACCAGCUUAAGAAUUAGGCUUCCUUGGUGUCAGAAUUAUAGUCUAGAAAAGUAUCCUCAAUGAUGGAUGGAGCCUAAGUCCCUUAGAAAGGGACACUAGAGAGGGUGAGAGCUCCAUUGUGCCUAGACCAUGUUAUAGCAUAAGGCACUAUCUACAAGUCAGGUUUUUUGGGAAUGUAGCCCCAGUUGGGUGAUAAAUUUUAUCCAAGGUUGAAUAUAGGUGAGAAAGCAUUGUGAGGGAAAGAUGAAAAGGACUUUGAAAAAAAAGUCAAAGAGUGCUUGAAAUUAUCAUGAAGAGAGUGGAUAGGGGUCGACGAUUCACCCUAGUUGGAUGUGGAACAUUGAGAGCCAAUCUAUUGAUCGACUUAGGGCGUGACUGUGCAGGUUGUGGUGGUGGCCCAAGCCUAGAAUUUCAAUCUACCCAUAGAGACAUUGUUGCCACGAUCAGGGAAUGUAGCACGUGCUAUCUCUAUGUGCUUCUACUAUCAACCUACAAGCUCUCUAUUUGACCUAUCUUGAAACACAACAUAAGAAGUCUAACAUGUGUGUGAGUCAAUGGGCUAAAAAACCCAUAAGGUGCAAGAAAGCUGAUUGACAGGAUCUCUUAUGAGUGCACCAUCGAUCGACCUUGAUCUUCUGACAAAGGUUCAAGUGUGAGCAUGCCUGUCAGGACCUGAAAGAUAGUGAGCUAUGCUUAAGUAGGGCAAAGCUAGAGGAAACUCUAUUGGAGGUCCACAAUGAUACUAAUGUGCAAAUCAUUCAUUUGACAUAGGUAUAGGGGUGAAAGACUAAUCAAACUGUCUAGUAGUUGGUUCCCUCCAAAGUUUCCCUCAAGAUAGCUAGAGCCCUUAGCAUUCCAUCUGGUAAAGCCAAUGAUCAGAGGCAUCGAACUUUAAAUUGGUAAAGCCAAUCAAGCUAUUCUCAAACUUUAAAUUGGUAGGACAAUGCAAAUACUUCAUGGAGCCACAUCAUGAAAUCGAGAGCUCCAAGUGGGCUUUUUUGGUAUGCAAAACUAGUGAUGUGGGAUGAAUGGUAAGCUAGGUUACAGUGCCUAAUUAUGCACUAAUCUAAAACCCAUAAAAGGUGUUGGUUAAUUAAGAUAGCAAGAUGGUGGGUAUGGAAGUCAAAAUCCACUAAAAAGUGUCUAACAACUCAUUUACCAAAUCAACUAGCCCUACAAUGGAUGCCACUUAAGCAUGCAACCUAUACCCAACUGCAAGGCAAGGGCCAAGCCCUGAUGAGUAGAAGGGCAUAGUGGUCAACACAAAACUCAAGGUGUGAGCCCAAGUAGAGCUACUACUGGUAUAGAUCUUGGUGGUAGUAGCAAACAUUCAAAUGAGAACUCUGAAGGCCAAAGAAGGGAAAGCUUCCAAGUGAACAGCACUUAUAAUGGGUUAGUCGAUCCUAAGAGAUUAAGGAAACUUAUCCAACAGCACAUCUAGUGUGAGCUUUAAAAGGAUUCGGGUUAAAAUUCCUAAACCAAUAUGCGAUAGUUAAGAACAACAUUAGGAAGUCUAGAGACAUCAGUAAGGGCCUUAUGAAAAGUUAUAUUUUUUGUUUAAUGGCCUGCCCACCCUAGAAAUGGCUUAACUAAACAUAGAGUCCAGCAACCAAAAGAGCACUGCAUGUCUUGUGGUGUUUGAUGCACCCUCGAUGGCCCUUGAAAAUUGGAGGACCAAGUGCCAUUAGCACUUGGUCGUACUCAUUACCACAUCAGAUCUCCAAGGUAAAUAGCCUUUGCUUAAUGGAACAAUAUAGGAAAAGGAAAUCAGCAAAAUAGAUCUGUAACCUCAGGAAAAAGGAUUGGUUUUGAGGGUAAAAGUAGGUCUUCAAGUGCCGAUCGAGGCACAGAUUGGGAAUGGCUCCCUCAAGGGCCUUCUUCAAGCAAUGAACAAUCAACUCAAAACUGGUACAAACAAGUGAAAUCCAAUUGUUUAAUUUAAAUAAAGCAUUGUUAUGGUCCCUAUGGAUGCUCACGUAAUGUGAUUUUUGCCAAGUGCUCUAAAUGUCAAAGUAUGGAAAUUGAACCAAGCUCGAGUAAAUAAUGGGAGUAACUAAGACUCUUUAACGGUAGCCAAAUGCAUCAUCAUCUAAUUAGUGGUACACAUGAAUGGAUUAAUGAGAUUCCCACUAUCCAGUGAAACCAUAGCCAAGGAAAUGGGCUUGGCAGAAUUAGCGAGGAAAAAAGACCUUAUUAAGUUUGACUCUAGUCAGACUUUCUGAAAUGACUUGACAGGUGUAGGAUAAGUGGGAGCCCUCAAGUGAAAUUGAAAUACCACUACUUUUAACAUUAUUUUACUUAUUUUGUGACUCAAAGGUGGAGCAUGACCCCUUCUUUUAGACCCAAGGCUAACCUCGGUCGAUUGAUCUAGGCAAAAGACAUUGUUAGGUAGGUAGUUGGUUGGGAUGGCACAUCUAUUAAAAGAUAACAUAGGCAUCCUAAGAUAAGCUUAACGAGAAUAGAAAUCUUAUGUGAAACAAAAGGGUAAAAGCUCAUUUGAUUUUGAUUUUUAGUACAAAUAUGAAUAGUGAAAUCAUGGCCUAUCAAUUCUUUAGACCUUUAAAAUUUAAAGCUAAAGGUAUUAGAAAAGUUACCACAAGGAUAACUGGCUUGUGGUAGCCAAGCAUUCAUAGCGGCAUCAUUUUUUUAUCUUUUGAUGUCAGCUCUUCCUACAUUGUGAAGCAAAAUUCAUCAAGUGUUGGAUUGUUCACCCACCAAUAAGGAUCAUGAGCUAAGUUUAGACUAUAAUGAGAUAGGUUAGUUUUACCCUACUGAUGGAAACAUUGCAAUAAUUAUUGAACCUCUAACUAGGGGAACCAUUGAUUUGCACAAUUGGUCAUCAGGCUUGAUUGAAAAGCCAAUGGCAUAAAGCUACCAUGCACUGGAUUAUGACUAAAUGCCUCUAAGUUAGAAUUUGGGCCAGAAGCAAUGCACGUGCCCAAGUAAAUGAUAACCAAAUGCCCUUCGUAUUUGUUAUAGGGACGGCCUCACCUUUGGUGCAAGUGUCAUGAGACUGGGACUUAUGCCAAAUGCUUUGUGCAACCUUAGGCUGGACUCCUUCCUUGUAUGCCUAAGUUAGCCUAUAAACACUCUCAAAGGGUGAGCACU
rnacentral:rRNA from 1 species